rnacentral:rRNA from 1 species
GAUGAACGCUGGCGGCGUGCCUAAUACAUGCAAGUCGAGCGAACAGACGAGGAGCUUGCUCCUCUGACGUUAGCGGCGGACGGGUGAGUAACACGUGGAUAACGUACCUAUAAGACUGGUAUAACUUCGGGAAACCGGAGCUUAUACCGGAUAAUAUAUUGAACCGCAGGGUGCAAUAGUUAAAGACGGUGUUGCGGUCACUUAUAGAUGGAUCCGCGCCGCAUUAGCUAGUUGUUAAGGUAACGGCUUACCAAGGCGAAGAGGCGUAGCCGACCGGUGAGGGUGCUCGGCCCCCCUGGAACUGAGACAGGGUCCAGACUACUACGGGAGGCAGCAGUAGGCAACGUUACGCAACGGGCGAAAGCCUGACAGAGAAACCGCGCGUGAGUGACGAAGGUCUUCCGAUCGUAAAACUCUGUUACUAGGGAUGAACAAAUGUGUCAGUAACUAUGCACGUAUUGACGGUACCUAAUCAGAAAGCCACGGCUAACUACGUG